UACAAUAAUCAAACCCUUGGGAGCAACUGUGGCUGGAACCAAAGUUCACAGGAGUGUGUUCUAUGAAAUCCUCUGAAGCUGUGGACAUCAACCCUCUGAUUGCUUGCGGCCAAACCGUGUCAUAGCUCGUUAAUAAAAAGUUGAUUUGAAGACUUGAUUUUAACUUUCCCCGAUGCCCACACUGGCAAAGACGCCCUGUGCCGCUUAUUGCUGCCGGCUCCCAUUGAAAAAGAAUGACUUCCGUUUACUUUGACACUCGCUGCUUUCAGUGUGAAUGUAGAUAUUCAAUCGUUAAUAAAAAGUUGAUUUGAAGACUUGAUUUUAACUUUCCCCGAUGCCCACACUGGCAAAGACGCCCUGUGCCGCUUAUUGCUGCCGGCUCCCAUUGAAAAAGAAUGACUUCCGUUUACUUUGACACUCGCUGCUUUCAGUGUGAAUGUAGAUAUUCAAUCAGGUUUAAGUCUGGGCUUUGGGGUGGCCAUUUCAUGGAUGUUUUUCACGAGGUGGUGAUGACGCAUUGAACAAUCGUCAGCAUCUUAAAUCCUUAAAAGUUUCAAAUAAAGAGAUAUUUUUUAAGAACCGUAGUACAUUUAUAAAGUUCUACUUUUUAUUAUAUCACAUUUUCAUGAAAUUGUAAAAAAAAUAGUUAAUGCUUCUGUGAGGUCUUUCUAAUGCAGCGUCUAUGGGCGAGACAGUAAAAUUGACAUUAUGCUCUCUUUCAGCAGCCAUUCUCAGUCUUACACUGGAAGUGUCACACUUUUUUUUGUGUUGUGGUGUUUUUUUUAUGAUGUAAGUAGAUAGGAAUACAAAAAAAGCAUUUGUCAAAUUCACAUUCACUGCUCUCUAAGUUUAAUCAGCUAUGACGACUUGCGCUGCUGUGAAAUGUGGUAAUGUGAAAAAGGUCCAUCUUCGAGGAACUGCUGUGUCUGUUGUUCUGUGACGAUGUUUCCCUUCAGGCCCAAGUAAAUCCAAGUGUCAUAUGUCUUUCAUGGAGGAUCAACAUUUUUGAGGAGCCUUGAACGACUGACAUUAAAAAAGAAGAUUUCUUCUGCUGUGGCCAAAACAUUCAUCCCUAUGGUGUUGAUGUGGUUUCCCACACAGUUGAAAAUCUGGCAAAGUCAGUGAAAACUGUCAAGUUUAGCUGCCUGUUUCAUCUGUGCUCUUUUAGAUCUACCUCAUAAGUUGUUGGUCACUUUAUUUGGAGGUACCAUUCUUGCUAUUAACAAAGCCUAAACUAUGACUUUUGUCUCAAUAAAGUCCUAAUUUGCUGCAUUUGAAUAUUUGUUAGGUAGUUGGCUGGUGUACGCAUUGAGUGAAUUGGGGGAUGUAGAAUAAGAUCAUGCAUAAAGUGCACUUUACAAGUAAAUAACCAGCCAAUAUCCUAAUAUAAGGCAGAUAUGAAUCCAGUUGUCAAUAGCAAGAAUUGAUACUUGAACUAAAGUGUAACCAAGUGUUUUCUGAUGUUCUUUGCAUUAUAUUUAAGUUGUGAUAUAUGACUCGAAAACUUGUUCUGUUAGGACAACUUCAAAUAGCACUAAGAAGGCAUCUGGACAUUUGGGAAACAGUAAGUUACGCAAUUUUGAUCUCCUCUGUAUAUGUAAUGAUUGUUUGUAUUGUGUGCCUACUUAUUAGCGGCCUCCGGGAAGCUGGUAUGAAUUACAAUUGGGUAAAGACAAAGAUUGUGUUAAAGAUGUGUUGCGAUAAGGAUGUGAGUGUGUGUGUGUUUCAGGAUAAUCUCUCCCUCAGGCGGGGUGACAUACGGUUCACUUCUCGUGCACUCAGUUUCCAUGGAGCUGGUACAGUAUCUUUCUCUCCAUGUAGCCUCUUCAACACCACUCGGAUAUGUUGCAGUUCCAGGUUGGGAAAAGACAAUCAGUAUGAAGACACAGAUGCUUUGUGAUCUGUUAUUGUUGUUAAAACAGGAAUGUUGUGACCCAAAUGGAAGAGGCAGAAGAGUAGAAUUAAUGGUUAUGUUGAAGCAUGAUUUUGAUUUUAUAGUUGUUAUAAAGUGUAAAUUAUACAGGAAAGUCAAACAAGGGAAGAGUUUGUGUGAGAAAUACAUUAAGUGUACAUUUAUAGGCAUUUUAUUUUACACGGCAGAGUGUAAAACAUCAAAUGUCCUUUCACGUCAGGUAAAUGAUCUGCCUGCAUCUGUGAGGUGAGACUCCCGCAAUGACAGAUAUCCUUGACUUUCCAAUUGAUCAUGUAGUUGUCACGGCAAAGACAAAAAGCGAGACAGCGAGAUAAUGAGAAAACUGUAGUCGUACGUCCCAGAUGGCGCGUAUCCCGAAGCCUUUGACUAAACGAAGCAUCAGGGGAUAAGCAUUUAUGUAAUUAUCUUACAGAUCAAUUAAUUAACACUUACAGAAUGUGCCAGAUAGAAUUGAGCAGCGAUAUCAAAAUAAAGGAUCAUUGAGCCAGUUCAGUCUUGUUGAAGAAGAAAGAUAAGCAAGUUGAGAAUGUGGCAGAAUCGGGCCAGGGCUUUAGGAAGACCCAAAAUCAAAGUGUGUGGAACGAAAACAGCGUUCGUCUCGGGUUCAUCAGCUCCAAAGGAAAGAAGAAAGCGAGCCUACCUAACAAUAUAAGCAAAUAUUGAGGAUUGGGAUCAGUUUAGAUCAGGGGUCACCAAUCCUGGUCCUGGAGGGCCGGUGUCCCUGCAGGGUUUAGCUCCAUCUUGACUCGACACACCUGCCUGGAUGUUUGAAGUAUACCUUGUAAGACCUUGAUUAGCUUGUUCAGGUGUGUUUGAUUAGGGUUGGAGAUAAAAUCUGCCGGACACCGACCCUACAGGAACAAGGUUGGUGACCACUGGUUUAGAUGAAAGCACUAUUGACAGUCAUCUUUCUGCAUCCCCAAAACAACCCUUGUUUUCAAGUAUAAUUUGUGUUCUUCUGGCUGUUUGGGUGUGCUUUAUUUAUUCUGUCUUGAGGGUCAGAAUAAGAUUGUUACGUUCUUUCCUGAGAUCAAUGAUUGCUGGAUUUAACGAGAGGAUAGCAUAGCAUUUAGCUAAAAUAAAUUAUGGGGCAAUUUGUGCAACCAUUUAAACUUGCAGAUUGUUAAAAGUAUGUGGUGUAUGGCUAAUAAUACUUAAGUGUAGCGAAGCAAGCAUUUCUGCGUUGUAUAAAAGGGCCUAGAAGUAAAGUAGAAUCAUUAAAGAUGGAAUGGAAAAUGUUGGUUCCUUCUUGAAUAACGGAUGUUUUUUGGAUGCAUGAUUUCUGUGAAGUCUGUUUACCAUUUGUUUUGUGGGACAGCUUUAUUCAAACCUCCAAAGCGAACGUGAGUAGAUGUUUUGAUUAUUUUCUAUUAAUGGGUGUGUUAAUUUUGACAUGUCAGCAGUGUAGAAAUUGUCAUUGAGGUUUUCCUGUGCAAAUAAGUUGACCAGAAUAAGCAAUAUAACAUGUGACCCUGGAUGUGAAAAGCAGUCAUACAUAGAGGUUUCAUUUUGUUAAAAUCAAGAAAUACGCACUCCAUUGACAUCUGUAAUCUGACGGCUGGAAAAAAAAAGGCUUUAAAGUUGUGCAGAUGAAGUUGUUGGCAAUGCUUAUUACUCAGCGAAUUGUUUUGUUUGUUUAUUCGCUGUAGGAGACGUGCGUCAAAUGUCUUGACUGAACGUGAUGUAGUGGCCAAAAUACCAAUGCAAGGAAAAGUGGUCCACACGAGAAGAAAUAGGCAUUAAUCGGUUGCAAAUGAUUUGCUGUUUUGUAGUGUGAUUUCCUUGAUGACUUGAUGGUGCAGGUGCUGCAUAAAGAAGCGAAGUGUGCAAAAGUAAAGACGGUAAAUGUAAUACGGGAAGGAAUGACAUGUACACAUCUAAUGACAAACAUGUGAGGCGUGUGCCAUUUGAAUGCUUUAUCUGAACACAAUGUGUUUUACGCUAUUACUCUGUUGAGGUGUGAAGAUGCUCCAGAUGAAGCCUGACAUUUGGCCGGAUCUGUAAUUGAGUAGCGCUGAAGCUGGCAAUGAAGCGACCGGCCUUUAUCACAAUCUUGAACAGGUAUGUCAAACUGCAGUAUUGAGCUGUGACCAAGGUUAGAGCCAACUAAUGUUAAAUACAGACUGCUGACUCCAUAGUAACCCUUUAAGUUGCAGUGUAAGGGGGAAACAUGAGAUAUUUCUUUGGUUAAUUUGGAUGAAAUCAGAGCUCUCUCAGUCUCCAGAGACAGCAAUGUUUCCAGAUUUAUUCAAAGUUGAGGCAAAAAUACUGUCACAACAGACUAUACGUAGUGGUUCAAUCAGAAUAUAAUGAAGGUACAAGGAUCGAUUAGUGGCGCCGUGUAAGAAAAAGAAGAACUUUAUUGAACAGUUUUCCGUGAAAUAGAGGUACGCGAGCUGUCACUAGGUACACUUUUUCAAAAGGUACACAUUCGUACUCAAAGGGUCCAUAUUAGUACUUGAAAAGUAUAUAGUAGUAGGCAAAAUUGUAAGAGGAACACGUUUGUAGUUUUUGGUAGUAAUAUGGACCCUUGUGGGAUUAAUAGGGACCCUUUAGGCACAAGUUUGUACCAUUUAAAAAGGUAGCACCCCAGCGCCAGCACACUUUCCUCUCAGACUGCAGUGUACGUUGUGUUUGGUCACACGGCUGAUGCAUUGUCUUGGUUACGUCUUGUUUCAAAUAGAAGAAGUUAUUUAUAGAUUUUUUUUUUUUUUCAUGUGGAGAAAAAUAUUGUCGCAUGUUAAUAUUGUGAUGAACGCAAUUUUGGCAUACGGACUGUUGUGAUCUUUUUCUUGACAUGAAAUAAAGCGGGGUCCUUGCUGUUUAUGGAGGGUGAGAGAGCUCUUACAGAGUUUGCGCGUGCUAAAUUGUGUUGUGCGGCACUGGGAAAAGGGGCAGGAUUACACAAUAUGAAGAUAAGCAUUUGCGUGGGGAGAAAAGUGCAGUGUGAUCGCAGCUUUAGAAAUGAUAAAGAUGGUUUAAUUUGGGGUGAAUGACCUCUUUAAACCGAGUUCCUGACUCCACAGUUAGCAAACGUGAAUAGUUUUUGAAAUGUCUUAUAAUAAUAAUAAUAAUAAUAAUAAGAUUAACAAAAAACUUAACCAGGCAGUUCCGAUGCCUGUCAAAGGCUUUAAUAAUGAUCUAGUGUAUAACGCCAGCAGAAAUGUUGUAAUUGAGCAACUAACCAUGAUGCAAAGAGUAUCUAAGAAGGAGUAAAUAUAAAAUGUUGAUGUUUGAGGAAGGCUGUGAUUAGUCUUUUCUCCAGGGACAUUGUUGAUGGAAGCGAACAGGUGAAAAUGGAAGCUAAAUAAAGACAGAACGGUGGUAAUAGUCAGUCCAAUGGUGUAAUAGUCAGUCCAGCACGGUGAAUUAUUUUCACGUCCAUAUCCUCUGAAAGGCCGUCAGUGUCUGUGAGGAGCGGAAAUUGUUGGCAUAAUUGUUGUUGUGUAUUUGAAGCUAUUCCCUGUACUCUGUUAUUACCUUUGAAAAGAGAGACAUUGGCCGAACAUGGGGAUGCAGUAACAAGUGUUGUUUUUGCAGGGUCAAACUAACGGCGUACCCGGAUAUCUCUGUCAGAGGUGAGAGGAAAGGGCAUUUUGGGAGGAAGCCCAGCAUCCUAAACCGGGCUGCCAUGGCAACACUGGCCAUGAGCCCAUUCGGAAGUUGACCUUCUCUGCAGUCGGUGACGGGAGGAAUUACACCUGCCGAAAAGGCGCGUUCAUCCAUCAAGGAAGCCAGAUGCGAUUGAAGAGGGGUCCGAGCAAAGAAAAGCUGAAGGAGCCUUUGAGCACUUUAGGUUGCAGGAGCAUUUAGGUGAGACUCCAUUUAAAAGUGAAGUACAUGCCUGUAACAGGAGCAGAAAGUAGGUAAAUGACAUGCAGAUUGUCUCUAACAGCAUAAAAGGGAGAUGAAUUUAGGCCACGUCUGCAAGGUUUAUCUGUCAGGCCACAUUGCACCGGGAGGCACUCGUGGGUCAGUGGUGAAAACUCUUGAUUUUCCUGACUCAGCUUGUUUUUGUGUUAAAGGACAAAGACAGCUGAGGGUGGCAGCCCGGAGCGUGGAGAGGCCUUUGAUGAUGGACUCGCGUGGGCAAGUGCAGAAGAGAGCAGUCUACAGGUGGCAUGAAGGCAGCAACCCUGAAGCAGGAUGGUGCAGCAGUGCUGUUGUGAGGGACAGUAGCUUGGUGCAGUCAAGCAGCUGUCAGGCCAUCCAAGGUGGACAUCUGAAGAGGUCAUGUGGCAUCAAUGUGAGCAAAGCUUGUAAGUGCUAGUAGUGUAUGUGUCCAUAUGUAGUAUGAUGGCAUUGAACUAAUCAGUUCAAGCGUUUGAUGUAAGAUGAGCCGUUUUAUUUGAGGCAUCAUCAUAGUUUCUUUAUGUCUGAAAGCUUGUAAUAGGCGUUGAGGGUAUGGGUGAGUCAGUUAAUAGAAAUGAUGUGAUGCUCAAGUAUAAGCAGAUGUUAGUGUUGUUCAUUGACUGUGUUGUGAGACCAUGUUGUGAAAUAAAGACAAGUACAAAGCA